rnacentral:rRNA from 1 species
UCUUCCGUAGGUGAACCUGCGGAGGGAUCAUUACCGAGUUUACAACUCCCAAACCCCUGUGAACAUACCAAUUGUUGCCUCGGCGGAUCAGCCCGCUCCCGGUAAAACGGGACGGCCCGCCAGAGGACCCCUAAACUCUGUUUCUAUAUGUAACUUCUGAGUAAAACCAUAAAUAAAUCAAAACUUUCAACAACGGAUCUCUUGGUUCUGGCAUCGAUGAAGAACGCAGCAAAAUGCGAUAAGUAAUGUGAAUUGCAGAAUUCAGUGAAUCAUCGAAUCUUUGAACGCACAUUGCGCCCGCCAGUAUUCUGGCGGGCAUGCCUGUUCGAGCGUCAUUUCAACCCUCAAGCCCCCGGGUUUGGUGUUGGGGAUCGGCGAGCCCUUGCGGCAAGCCGGCCCCGAAAUCUAGUGGCGGUCUCGCUGCAGCUUCCAUUGCGUAGUAGUAAAACCCUCGCAACUGGUACGCGGCGCGGCCAAGCCGUUAAACCCCCAACUUCUGAAUGUUGACCUCGGAUCAGGUAGGAAUACCCGCUGAACUUAAGCAUAUCAAUAAGCCGGAGGAAU